ensembl:lncRNA
CUGGUUUUCAGGACCCAUCAGGGAGACUGUUGGACCAAGGUCUAGCUUUGCCUUCGUGUGGCACUCGCCGGGAAGCUCGAAUCCCGGUUCCCUGGGGCUUGAGAAGCUGUUGUUUCGUCCGUCGGGGCUAGAGGUGCCGAUGACUAAGGAGUUGUAUGUCAACCAGAGUUCUACAGUUUUGUGUACUUAUCUGGAAAAGCAAAAAGUGAGGGAUUUCAAAGAAACAUCUGCUUCAUUGACUUUGCUAAAGCCUUUGUGUGGAUCACAACAAACUAUGGAAAACUCUUAAAGAAAUGGGAAUACCAGACCACCUUAUCUGUUUCCUGAGAAACCUGUAUGCAGGUCAUGAACCAACAGUUAGAACUGGACAUGGAACAACAGACUGGUUCAAAAUUAGGAAACAAGUACAUUAGGGCUGUAUAUUGUCACCCUGCUUAUUUAACUUGUAUGCAGAGUACAUCAUGUGAAAUGCCAGGCUGGAUGAAUCAAUCACAAGCUGGAAUCAAGAUUGCUGGGAGAAAUAUCAACAAUCUCAGAUAUGCAGAUGAUACCACUCUAAUGGCAGAAAGUGAAGAAGAAUUAAAGAGCUUCUUGAUGAGGUUGAGAAGAGGAGAGUGAAAAAACUGACUUAGAACUCAACAUUCAAAAAACUAACACCAUGGCACCUGGUUCCAUCACUGUGACAGAUUUAUUUUUCUUUUCAGGGCUCCAAAAUCACUGCAGACAGUGACAGCAGCCAUGAAAUAAAAAACGCUUGCUCCUUGUAAGAAAAGGUAUGACAAAGCUAGACAGCAUAUUAAAAAGCAGAGAUAUCACUUUGUCAACAAAGGUCCAUAUAGUCAAAAGUAUGAUUUUUCCAGUAGUCAUGUAUGGAUGUCUGAGUUGGACCGUAAAGAAAGCUGAGUGCUGAAGGAUUGAUGUUUUUGAACUGUGGUGUUGGAGAAGACUCUUGAGAGUAAGGAGAUCAAACCAGUUGAUCCUAAAGGAAAUCAACCCUGAAUAUUCAUUGGAAGGACUGAUGCUAAAGCUGAAGCUCCAGUACUUCGGCCACCUGAUGCGAAGAGCCCACUCAUUGGAAAAGACCCUGAUGCUGAAUGAGGUGGUCGGAUGGCAUCACUGACUCAAUGGACAUGAGUUUGAGCAAGCUCUGGGAGAUAGUGAAGAACAGAAAAGCCUGGUGUGUUGCAUUUCAUGGGACAUGAUUUAGUGACUG